GGGCUUUUGCAGACGGGAUUCGCACCCUAUAUUGGGAGUGCCGGUUCGCCGGCUAUGGAAAUAAAUGGCCGUCGCAAUAAACCAUUCGGACCCGGGGGCAGCACCCGGCGCCUCCACCAAAGCCCGGACUAUCCGCUGUUGAGCGGCGGGUUUCGGCGGGGGCGAAACAGGAUCGACGAGGGCGUAAAGGGCGUGUUUUUUCUCGGUAUUGUUCCGCCGUUAUCGGGCUUCUCAAUAGUUGCAAACGACAACUAUGCUCCGGUUGCUCAGGCUGCGUAACGCAGUUUGAAAUACCGAAUUAAAGUCCUGAUGGAUUAAGCCCUGUCAGGCGGGGUUCGGAGGCACCUGGCAACAGAAGCCUCCACU
rnacentral:tmRNA from 1 species